rnacentral:rRNA from 1 species
ACGCGGGGGCAACCCUGGCGACGAGUGGCGAACGGGUUUNNUAAUAUAUCGGAACGUGCCCUAGAGUGGGGGAUAGCUCGGCGAAAGCCGGAUUAAUACCGCAUACGCCCUAUGGGGGAAAGUGGGGGACCGCAAGGCCUCACGCUCCUGGAGCGGCCGAUAUCUGAUUAGCUAGUUGGUGAGGUAAAAGCUCACCAAGGCGACGAUCAGUAGCUGGUCUGAGAGGACGACCAGCCACACUGGGACUGAGACACGGCCCAGACUCCUACGGGAGGCAGCAGUGGGGAAUUUUGGACAAUGGGGGCAACCCUGAUCCAGCAAUGCCGCGUGAGUGAAGAAGGCCUUCGGGUUGUAAAGCUCUUUUGUCCGGGAAGAAACGCGCUGGGCUAAUAUCCUAGCGUAAUGACGGUACUGGAAGAAUAAGCACCGGCUAACUACGUGCCAGCAGCCGCGGUAAUACGUAGGGUGCGAGCGUUAAUCGGAGUUACUGGGCGUAAAGCGUGCGCAGGCGGUUGUGCAAGACAGAUGUGAAAUCCCCGGGCUUAACCUGGGAAUGGCAUUUGUGACUGCACGGCUAGAGUGUGUCAGAGGGGGGUAGAAUUCCACGUGUAGCAGUGAAAUGCGUAGAGAUGUGGAGGAAUACCGAUGGCGAAGGCAGCCCCCUGGGAUAACACUGACGCUCAUGCACGAAAGCGUGGGGAGCAAACAGGAUUAGAUACCCUGGUAGUCCACGCCCUAAGCGAUGUCUACUAGUUGUCGGGUCUUAAUUGACUUGGUAACGCAGCUAACGCGUGAAGUAGACCGCCUGGGGAGUACGGUCGCAAGAUUAAAACUCAAAGGAAUUGACGGGGACCCGCACAAGCGGUGGGUGAAUGUGGAUUAAUUCGAUGCAACGCGAA